UACAGAGGGGGCAAGCGUUGUUCGGAAUUACUGGGCGUAAAGGGCGCGUAGGCGGCGGGGCAAGUCGGGAGUGAAAGCCCGGGGCUCAACCCCGGAACUGCUUUCGAAACUGCCGAGCUAGAGUGCGGAAGAGGCAACUGGAAUUCCCAGUGUAGCGGUGAAAUGCGUAGAUAUUGGGAAGAACACCGGAGGCGAAGGCGGGUUGCUGGGCCGACACUGACGCUGAGGAGCGAAAGCCAGGGGAGCAAACGGG
rnacentral:rRNA from 1 species